AAUCCAUAGGUUAAUGAGGCGAACCGGGGGAACUGAAACAUCUAAGUACCCCGAGGAAAAGAAAUCAACCGAGAUUCCCCCAGUAGCGGCGAGCGAACGGGGAGGAGCCCAGAGCCUGAAUCAGCAUGUGUGUUAGUGGAAGCGUCUGGAAAGGCGCGCGAUACAGGGUGACAGCCCCGUACACAAAAGCGCAUGUGCUGUGAGCUCGAUGAGUAGGGCGGGACACGUGGUAUCCUGUCUGAAUAUGGGGGGACCAUCCUCCAAGGCUAAAUACUCCUGACUGACCGAUAGUGAACCAGUACCGUGAGGGAAAGGCGAAAAGAACCCCGGCGAGGGGAGUGAAAAAGAACCUGAAACCGUGUACGUACAAGCAGUGGGAGCACAGGUUUACCUGUGUGACUGCGUACCUUUUGUAUAAUGGGUCAGCGACUUAUAUUCUGUAGCAAGGUUAACCGAAUAGGGGAGCCGGAGGGAAACCGAGUCUUAAUUGGGCGUUAAGUUGCAGGGUAUAGACCCGAAACCCGGUGAUCUAGCCAUGGGCAGGUUGAAGGUUGGGUAACACUAACUGGAGGACCGAACCGACUAAUGUUGAAAAAUUAGCGGAUGACCUGUGGCUGGGGGUGAAAGGCCAAUCAAACCGGGAGAUAGCUGGUUCUCCCCGAAAGCUAUUUAGGUAGCGCCUCGUGAAUUCAUCUCCGGGGGUAGAGCACUGUUUCGGCUAGGGGGCCAUCCCGGCUUACCAACCCGAUGCAAACUGCGAAUACCGGAGAAUGUUAUCACGGGAGACACACGGCGGGUGCUAACGUCCGUCGUGAAGAGGGAAACAACCCAGACCGCCAGCUAAGGUCCCAAAGUCAUGGUUAAGUGGGAAACGAUGUGGGAAGGCCCAGACAGCCAGGAUGUUGGCUUAGAAGCAGCCAUCAUUUAAAGAAAGCGUAAUAGCUCACUGGUCGAGUCGGCCUGCGCGGAAGAUGUAACGGGGCUAAACCAUGCACCGAAGCUGCGGCAGCGAACGUAUCACUUAAAGCGAUUCAGCGGGUUACGAUUGACGGAGCGAAGCGACGUCAAAGCGUAUACAAAGUCGAGUCGGUUUAAGGAUACGUUCGUUGGGUAGGGGAGCGUUCUGUAAGCCUGCGAAGGUGGCCUGUGAGGGUUGCUGGAGGUAUCAGAAGUGCGAAUGCUGACAUAAGUAACGAUAAAGCGGGUGAAAAGCCCGCUCGCCGGAAGACCAAGGGUUCCUGUCCAACGUUAAUCGGGGCAGGGUGAGUCGACCCCUAAGGCGAGGCCGAAAGGCGUAGUCGAUGGGAAACGGGUUAAUAUUCCCGUACUUGGUGUUACUGCGAAGGGGGGACGGAGAAGGCUAUGUUGGCCGGGCGACGGUUGUCCCGGUUUAAGCGUGUAGGUGUGUGUUCCAGGUAAAUCCGGUUCACUUUAACACUGAGGCGUGAUGACGAGGCACUACGGUGCUGAAGCAACAAAUGCCCUGCUUCCAGGAAAAGCCUCUAAGCAUCAGGUAACAUCAAAUCGUACCCCAAACCGACACAGGUGGUCAGGUAGAGAAUACCAAGGCGCUUGAGAGAACUCGGGUGAAGGAACUAGGCAAAAUGGUGCCGUAACUUCGGGAGAAGGCACGCUGACACGUAGGUGAAGUGAUUUACUCAUGGAGCUGAAGUCAGUCGAAGAUACCAGCUGGCUGCAACUGUUUAUUAAAAACACAGCACUGUGCAAACACGAAAGUGGACGUAUACGGUGUGACGCCUGCCCGGUGCCGGAAGGUUAAUUGAUGGGGUCAGCGCAAGCGAAGCUCCUGAUCGAAGCCCCGGUAAACGGCGGCCGUAACUAUAACGGUCCUAAGGUAGCGAAAUUCCUUGUCGGGUAAGUUCCGACCUGCACGAAUGGCGUAAUGAUGGCCAGGCUGUCUCCACCCGAGACUCAGUGAAAUUGAACUCGCUGUGAAGAUGCAGUGUACCCGCGGCAAGACGGAAAGACCCCGUGAACCUUUACUAUAGCUUGACACUGAACAUUGAGCCUUGAUGUGUAG
rnacentral:rRNA from 2 species